CUUCUUCUUCUUCUUCUUUUUGUUCUUCUUCUUCUUCUUGCUCUUCUUCUUCUUUUAAUUCUUUAAACUUGUUCUUCAAUAAAGCCACUUUAUCUUCGAUGCGGUCUCUCAUGAAUAACGAUUGAUGAGGAGAAGAAGAAGAAGUUUGAAUUUUCAAAGUAAUCUCUUUUUCUUCUGCGUU
rnacentral:ribozyme from 14 species